rnacentral:rRNA from 1 species
UACGGCGGGGGCUAGCGUUGUUCGGAAUUACUGGGCGUAAAGCGCGCGUAGGCGGCUUUGUAAGUUAGAGGUGAAAGCCCGGAGCUCAACUCCGGAAUUGCCUUUAAGACUGCAUCGCUAGAAUCAUGGAGAGGUGAGUGGAAUUCCGAGUGUAGAGGUGAAAUUCGUAGAUAUUCGGAAGAACACCAGUGGCGAAGGCGACUCACUGGACAUGUAUUGACGCUGAGGUGCGAAAGCGUGGGGAGCAAACAGG